GAUGAACGCUGGCGGCGUGCCUAAUACAUGCAAGUCGAGCGAACAGAUGAGGAGCUUGCUCCUCUGACGUUAGCGGGGGACGGGUGAGUAACACGUGGAUAACCUACCUAUAAGACUGGGAUAACUUCGGGAAACCGGAGCUAAUACCGGAUAAUAUAUUGAACCGCAUGGUUCAAUAGUGAAAGACGGUUUUGCUGUCACUUAUAGAUGGAUCCGCGCCGCAUUAGCUAGUUGGUAAGGUAACGGCUUACCAAGGCAACGAUGCGUAGCCGACCUGAGAGGGUGAUCGGCCACACUGGAACUGAGACACGGUCCAGACUCCUACGGGAGGCAGCAGUAGGGAAUCUUCCGCAAUGGGCGAAAGCCUGACGGAGCAACGCCGCGUGAGUGAUGAAGGUCUUCGGAUCGUAAAACUCUGUUAUUAGGGAAGAACAAAUGUGUAAGUAACUAUGCACGUCUUGACGGUACCUAAUCAGAAAGCCACGGCUAACUACGUG
rnacentral:rRNA from 1 species